rnacentral:rRNA from 1 species
UACGUAGGGUGCGAGCGUUGUCCGGAAUUACUGGGCGUAAAGAGCUCGUAGGUGGUUUGUCGCGUUGUUCGUGAAAACUCACAGCUCAACUGUGGGCGUGCGGGCGAUACGGGCAGACUAGAGUACUGCAGGGGAGACUGGAAUUCCUGGUGUAGCGGUGAAAUGCGCAGAUAUCAGGAGGAACACCGUGGCGGAAGGCGGGUCUCUGGGCGUGAACGACGCUGAGGACGGAAAGCGUGGGGAGCGAAACAGGG